GGUCAUUUGGUGAAUCUGUAUCUUUAUCACAAUGAAAUUUCAAUUCAUAGUAAUUUUAUGACUA
rnacentral:tRNA from 1 species